UUUUACUGUCAGAUCAAAUGCUCUUUUGAUCCGAUUCGUGCUUCUAUCUUUGCUGUGUGCCCCUUUUUCUAGGGUUUCAAGCGCUGGUUCGCCGCUGGGAACCAAUUCUCCGAUUAAAUAUCUCUCUCUCCGGAGCUGGAAAGGAGUUGACUGGACUUGGUUUAUGCUCCUGUUCUCUCACAGAAGCAAAUAAACUGAAUAGAAAAUUGCGUGAGGUCUAUAAUUCCUAGGAAGCAUUUGCAUGGUUCAAUGUUACUGCAAUCUCUCUACAACACUUUCUGAGAACAUGGAUCUAUUCUUGAAAACGCAACAGACAUAGUUGCAUUGCUUGAUUUCAAGUCACAUAUAAGCGAAGACCCUUGAGGAGUUCUCAACUCUUGGAAUGAUCCCAUAUAUUUUUGUCAAUGGCCUGGAGUUAAAUGUGGUGUCAAAUACCAGAAAGUCAUCUCCGUUGAGCUUAAAGGUCAGAGUUUGGUCGGGAACAUAAAAAAGCGGUUGUUCUUAAACAAUUUGGCAAUAAUUUACCCGACUUAGGCCUCGAAGAUCAAGAAUCUGAUCAUGAUUUCAUGUCCAUCUGCAAGGUAUGCCAUAGCACCCCACAGGCUUGAUUAUAAUUAAUUUAUCUAUUAUUUUUUUCCUGAAAUACACUCGCGAUGAGAUCCAGCAUUUUCAGGGAAUAAAGAUGAUCUAAAGAAUUUAUAUCUCUUCCUAAAUCAUAAAGGAACAGAAUCAGAAGCAUAUAGUAAACUGGUGACAUUUCUAAACAUUUCUAUUCUCUGCUGAUUUAAUCUAUUGUACUCACCAUGUAUUUGAUAUGAGACCUUGAUGAAUUAUAUACGACUUUUCAUUUAUUUAUUGUGAAUAUGUCUGUAGCUUGAUUUUUUUUGUAUCAUUCAAAAUUGCUAUGAAGAUCUUUUUAACGAGUUUGACAAGUACAAAAAGAUUGAAUGAUUGUGAUACUUUUAUUAUGGAUAAUACUUCUUGGAAUGAAUGGUAUAGUUUAUUAACUUAAUGAUGGGAGGAGUUGAAGGAUAGUACUGAUUAAGUGAUGAUAUUGUUCAAAAUUUCUUUAAAAUUGUAAAUAAUAUAUGAGUUUAAUUCAUCUCUGCCAUUAUUUGUAAUCAAAGCUAGAAUUGUGAUUUGAUCUUCGAGUCUCCAUCUUAGUGAUGGUCUCUUAUUAGAGCUACUGACAAGAGGUCUCUUACAGACUGGGUGAACUCUCAUCCAACAGUGGGUUUCUAACCUUGAUAACUGAGUUUGAUUUUCAGUAUUUAUAAUUUUACUUUUAGGUAAAUAUUAUGAAAACUAAUCAUGCGAAGACGUUUGAAUAUAUAUGACAAGAGAAUAAUGCUUGCAAAUUUCAACUAGAAUAAUGCUUCUAAGUAUGAGAAGUUAAACAAGAAAGAAUUGUAAAAUUCUUUGCUCAAUUUAGAGAUCAGAUGAUCACGAUGUUGGGUUUUAGCAGGAGCAUGGGAGCAACUAUUUAUGUAGAAAUAUAGAAUUCUGCAAUAAAAAGGCAGAAUAUAUUCUUGUUUUAGUAUUUACUAAUACCAGAAUUUAAUAGUAGUUACAAUAAUGAUUCCUCUGUUUGCCCAAUGAUUUCCAUGGUAUAUAUGAUGUCGAGCAUUUUGUCAAUGCGCUAAGGUAUGAUCUACAAAUUAUGAAGAGGAUUCCUGAAAUUCGAAAAAAAUGGGAAGAUGAAGAAUAUAAAAGCUUUCCUGGUAACAAAGCUUUGCCUUUUGCCUCCAAUAUAUUGCUUAUAGAAUAUUAAACUAUAGCUGUGUCAUUUUGGUUUAGAUUUGACCUCCUAGAGAUGCUCCUGUCAGUUGGUAAUUUGGUAUACAAUAGAGGCUUUGCAGAGGAUGAAAGAACAUGGCAGUCAUCAUGCAAUUUCAAUUCAUCUUAUAAUUCCAACAUAUGUAGCUUCAUUCAUAAUCACAGCACGCAUACUUGAUUAUCAUAAUUGAAUAAUCAUAUAAUUUCUUAACUGCACUCACAUACUAAAGACAAAGAAUAUAAAAGCUUUCCUGGUAACAAAGCUCAGCCUUUUCCCUCCAAUAUAUUGCUUAUAGAAGCUUAAACUAUAGUUGUGUCAUUUUGCUUUAGAUUCGACCUCCUAGAGAUGCUCCUAUCAGUUGGUAUACAAUAGAGGCUUUGCAGAGAAUGAAAGAACAUGUUUUAGGGUUCGAUGAUUACAUUACAACUUUUUCACAAGCAAGGGGUCAAGACAUAGUCAGGGGUGUGAAUUAUGCAUCUGUAGCUGCUGGAAUCAAAGAAGAAACGGGGCAGCAGCUGGUACAUCUACAUUUAUAGUUCUUUGUUCUAUUUCUUGGAAGUAUUAUGUAUUAUCAAUCUUCACUUCCCUCUGCUAAUAUUUUUAAUAAGAAAAAGUAUGUUGACAAACAAUGAUGUGGUUAUUAUAAAGAGCAUAAUAUUUUGCUCUGGAUAUGUUGGGUACUUUCGGAGAUUUUAGUUACUUCCAAGAAGCAACGCGGUCACCUGUUUUAUAAGUCCUUGGCAUGUUAUUUAGAUAUACCAUACACGUCUC